AAUGACACAAGAUAAUGAUAAAUUAAAAAUAUUGUUAAUGAAUGGUAAAAACGAUACAAUGAAAACAAUAGACAAAUAAUGACAAGAUAAUGAUAAAUGAAAGAUAUUGUUAUUGAAUGGUAAAAACGAUACACAAUGAAAACAGUAGACAAAUAAUGACGGAAGAUGAUGAUAAAUGAAAGAUAUUGUUAUUGAAUGGUAAAAACGAUACACAAUGAAAACAAUAGACAAAUAAUGACGGAAGAUAAUGAUAAAUGAAAGAUAUUGUUAAUGAAUGCUAAAAACGAUACAAUGAAAACAGUAGACAAAUAAUGACGGAAGAUAAUGAUAAAUGAAAGAUAUUGUUAAUGAAUGGUAAAAACGAUACACAAUGAAAACAAUAGACAAAUAAUGACACAAGAUGAUGAUUAAUGAAAGAUAUUGUUAUUGAAUGGUAAAAACGAUACACAAUGAAAACAAUAGACAAAUAAUGACACAAGUUGAUGAUAAAUGAAAGAUAUUGUUAAUGAAUGGUAAAAACGAUACACAAUGAAAACAAUAGACAAAUAACGACAAAAUGAUGAUAAAUGAAAGAUAUUGUUAUUGAAUGGUAAAAACGAUACACAAUGAAAACAAUAGACAAAUAAUGACGGAAGAUAAUGAUAAAUGAAAGAUAUUGUUAUUGAAUGGUAAAAACGAUACACAAUGAAAACAAUAGACAAAUAAUGACGGAAGAUAAUGAUAAAUGAAAGAUAUUGUUAAUGAAUGAUAAAAAAACGAUACAAUGAAAACAAUAGACAAAUAAUGACGGAAGAUAAUGAUAAAUGAAAGAUAUUGUUAAUGAAUGAUAAAAAAACGAUACAAUGAAAACAAUAGACAAAUAAUGACAAGAUAAUGAUAAAUGAAAGAUAUUGUUAAUGAAUGAUAAAAAAACGAUACAAUGAAAACAAUAGACAAAUAAUGACACAAGAUGAUGAUAAAUGAAAGAUAUUGUUAAUGAAUGGUAAAAACGAUACACAAUGAAAACAAUAGACAAAUAAUGACGGAAGAUAAUGAUAAAUGAAAGAUAUUGUUAAUGAAUGGUAAAAACGAUACACAAUGAAAACAAUAGACUAAUAAUGACAGUUGAUGAUAAAUGAAAAAUAUUGUUAUUGAAUGAAAACAAAGAUACACACUGAAAACAAUAGACAAAUAAUGACGGAAGAUAAUGAUAAAUGAAAGAUAUUGUUAAUGAAUGAUAAAAAAACGAUACAAUGAAAACAAUAGACAAACACUGACAGAUGAUGAUAAAUGAAAAAUAGUGUUAUUGAAUAUAAAAAAAAAAAACACUUGUGAACGAAACUAAUCGAGACUGCCAUUGUGUUUUGAAAAGAAGAUGCACAAAAAUACUUAUAACAAAAAACUGAACGCCCUGUAAUGAAAGAAAGUGAAAUAAUGAGAAAAAAAUAGUUUAUGUGAACGAAAUAUAAAGAGAGCUUGCGGUACAUGUGAACGGUACACUUUGAAAAAUACGCAAGAAGUGAAUAAGAUGGAAAAAUUAAACGUUAGAUAAUGAAAACAGAGAAUGAGACGCAGACAAUAGAGGAAUAUGAAGAAAGAAUGAAAUAAAGAAAUAAAGGAAAGUAAGCUAAUAAAAUAAAGAAAAGCCAGAGAGA